rnacentral:rRNA from 1 species
CAGGUCGACGAUUCAGGCCUAACACAUGCAAGUCGAGCGGAUGAAGGGAGCUUGCUCCCGGAUUCAGCGGCGGACGGGUGAGUAAUGCCUAGGAAUCUGCCUGGUAGUGGGGGACAACGUUUCGAAAGGAACGCUAAUACCGCAUACGUCCUACGGGAGAAAGCAGGGGACCUUCGGGCCUUGCGCUAUCAGAUGAGCCUAGGUCGGAUUAGCUAGUUGGUGAGGUAAUGGCUCACCAAGGCGACGAUCCGUAACUGGUCUGAGAGGAUGAUCAGUCACACUGGAACUGAGACACGGUCCAGACUCCUACGGGAGGCAGCAGUGGGGAAUAUUGGACAAUGGGCGAAAGCCUGAUCCAGCCAUGCCGUCUUCGGAUUGUAAAGCACUUUAAGUUGGGAGGAAGGGUUGUAGAUUAAUACUCUGCAAUUUUGACGUUACCGACAGAAUAAGCACCGGCUAACUUCGUGCCAGCAGCCGCGGUAAUACGAAGGGUGCAAGCGUUAAUCGGAAUUACUGGGCGUAAAGCGUGCGUAGGCGGUUUUUUAAGUCUGCUGUGAAAUCCCCGGGCUCAACCUGGGAAUGGCAGUGGAAACUGGAAAGCUAGAGUGUGUCAGAGGAUGGUGGAAUUCCCGGUGUAGCGGUGAAAUGCGUAGAGAUCGGGAGGAACAUCAGUGGCGAAGGCGGCCAUCUGGGACAACACUGACGCUGAGGCACGAAAGCGUGGGGAGCAAACAGGAUUAGAUACCCUGGUAGUCCACGCCCUAAACGAUGCGAACUGGAUGUUGGUCUCAACUCGGAGAUCAGUGUCGAAGCCAACGCGUUAAGUUCGCCGCCUGGGGAGUACGGUCGCAAGACUGAAACUCAAAGGAAUUGACGGGGGCCCGCACAAGCGGUGGAGUAUGUGGUUUAAUUCGAUGCAGCGCGAAGAACCUUACCUGGCCUUGACAUGUCUGGAAUUCUGCAGAGAUGCGGAAGUGCCUUCGGGAACCAGAACACAGGUGCUGCAUGGCUGUCGUCAGCUCGUGUCGUGAGAUGUUGGGUUAAGUCCCGCAACGAGCGCAACCCUUGUCCUUAGUUGCCAGCACGUAAUGGUGGGAACUCUAAGGAGACUGCCGGUGACAAACCGGAGGAAGGUGGGGAUGACGUCAAGUCAUCAUGGCCCUUACGGCCAGGGCUACACACGUACUACAAUGGUCGGUACAGAGGGUUGCAAUACCGCGAGGUGGAGCCAAUCCCAGAAAGCCGAUCCCAGUCCGGAUCGUAGUCUGCAACUCGACUACGUGAAGUAGGGAUCGCUAGUAAUCGCAGAUCAGCUAUGCUGCGGUGAAUACCUUCCCGGGCCUUGUACACACCGCCCGUAAUCUC